rnacentral:lncRNA from 1 species
AUGAAAAAUCUGCAAAAGGAAUGGAUUUGGAUAAUGCAGCUAACACCUAAGCUAUACAGAGAAUACCCUGGAACUGAAAUAAAUUUAGUACACCUUCUGAAUGCUCAUAGGAAAAAAAAAACUGAAUUUAACCUGGAUCUUCUAACAUUUAGGACAAUAAACUAUGGAGUUAUAAAGGACAUAUGAGGAAUGAACUACCAAUCAUUGGACAAGGUCCAUUAAAGUGAAAGGACUCACAAGAGAGUGAUGUGGUCUGGAUCUGAACUCAGGUUUUCUCAUUUUAAAUCCAAUUCUCUUUCACCCAUCACAAAUCAGUGGCAUUUCCCACCUUGAUAUCAGGAUUCAUGCUUGCUCUCGCUAGUUUGUUUGAUUUAGUUUGACUUAACUUGCAUCCUGGGAAGUUUAUCUCAAGUAAACAGAAUACAGAAAAGCAACUCACAAAGCAAUUUUGCUAAAAAUCCUGUCCAUGUAAAGAAUGUCUCUGUUAUAUCUGAGGACUUAAUUGGCGUACAAGUUUAAAAAUUCAAUCAGUUAUUUUCUCUAGUGCUCAUUUAGGAAUGGCCAGCUACUUAGCCUCAUUCAAGACUAAAUUCAAAGGGAGAAUUCUAAUUUCUUUGAUAAAUAUAACCCAUUACAUCCAAUUGAUCUUAUCAACCAGCUAAGCAUACUGUAACUGGAAAUUUUCUUUGCAAAUGCUUACAAAAAAGUGGUAUCAGUGUCUUCCUAACUAUAAAGCUGCUGUAAAUCGAAUCUUCUUGGAGCUAUUCUGUAUAAAAUUUUCAUUAUUUAAAAUUCACUUCCAAAUACUGUGAGUCUAUUUAUUGUGUUAUCUCUCUUUAUUUAAACAAAUCUAAAAAUCAUAAAACACUUGAAAGCAGC